rnacentral:rRNA from 1 species
AAAUUGAAGAGUUUGAUCAUGGCUCAGAUUGAACGCUGGCGGCAGGCCUAACACAUGCAAGUCGAACGGUAGCACAGAGAGCUUGCUCUCGGGUGACGAGUGGCGGACGGGUGAGUAAUGUCUGGGAAACUGCCUGAUGGAGGGGGAUAACUACUGGAAACGGUGGCUAAUACCGCAUAACGUCGCAAGACCAAAGAGGGGGACCUUCGGGCCUCUUGCCAUCAGAUGUGCCCAGAUGGGAUUAGCUAGUUGGUGAGGUAACGGCUCACCAAGGCGACGAUCCCUAGCUGGUCUGAGAGGAUGACCAGCCACACUGGAACUGAGACACGGUCCAGACUCCUACGGGAGGCAGCAGUGGG